UCAGUAAAGGAAAAAUAAACCAAUGUAAUAGCAACAACGCCAAACCAAACCAGAUGUAGAAAUACACUGUAAAUUAAUUAAAGCCAGUUACUAUGCCUUAAAUGACCAUAGACAACAAAAUGGCAAAAAUUGAGCCCCACAUGUCUGCCACCAUGAUUUUCCUGUCUUGAUGAGCUGUACCCUCAAAUUGAGCCAAAAUAAAGCCUUCUUUAAGUUGCUUUGCCUGGGUAUUUUUGUCACAGCAAAGAGGAAAGUAACAUUACAGGAGCCUUGGCUUUGAAAAUUACCAUCUUCUUAAAACUGUCCACACAGAGGUGGCUUGUGGGCCUGCCAUCUAUGGGAAAGACCUCAUGACAAUGAAGCGACAAGAUGUCAUGACCAAGGAGUAGCAGCUCUGGUCCUUCAAUGAGUGGGUGCUGCCUUCCAGUCUGUGUGUCAGCUAAUGGGGAUGGGUAAAUAACAUGUGUGGUUGCUGUGAAACUUUACAGAAAAGCAUUUGUCCCAGCUUGUUAAAUGGCACAAGACAGCUGUUCCUACAGCUUCAUGCUCAGCAUUUCUACUCCAGCAUGUUCUUGAAGAUUUUUAAAAACAGAGAAGGUUCGUAGGCAUGGCCUAUCUUUUAAUGCACAGGGAGAGAUGAAACCAACGGAAUUGAAUAGUUAAGCCCCACCAAUCCUUUUAACAUCACCUGCAUUUUGUGACAUUCUUUGCAUGACUAUCAGGAAAGCAAGCUCCCUGAUUAUAUAUUCAGAGGGGACCUCAAGAUGUGCCUUCAUGCCUUAUUCUGAUCUUCUCUAUUGUGUGUACGUAAGACAAAGUAGUCUCCUAAAUGGUAUGAACUGUCCUACCCCAAACCAUGCAAUCCACUUUUUUAUUAUUAUGAACUCAUAAACACAUGUUCUGCAAGCCUCAACAUUCUAGUUUGCUUUCUGUUGCAGUGGUAAAACACUGACCAAAACAGCUGGGGGAGGCCAAGGGUUUCUUUUAUACUCUUAUCACAUCACUGAAGGAAAUAGGGCAGGAACUCAAGCAGGAGUUGUGGUAGGAUCCACAGAGGAAUGCUGCUGACUGGCUCAUGCUCAACCAGCAUUCUUACAUAACCCAGGACCACCUGUCCAGAGAUGGCAUCACCCAUAAUAGGCUGGGCCCUCCUACAUCAGUUAGUGAUAAUAGAAAAAUGACCCACAGACAUGCCACAAGCCAAGGUGAUGGAGGAAAAUUUCCAAUUAUAGUUCCCUCUUCCCAGGCAACUCUAGUUUGUGUCAAGUUGACAAGAAAAACCUAUCAGAAUAUUCAGCAUCUGGGAACAUCUGUUCUUUUUCACUUCCAUUUCCAAAGUGAUUCCUAACAGAGCUCCUUAACUUUCCUCCCAAGAUUUCUGUUUCUUUGGAUGAUGAGAAAACUUGAACUUAAGUAAACGGGAUGGGUUUGUUCUCUUAAGCUGCAUGUGUUUUACUGCCUCUCUCCAGCCUGACAGGGAGCAGACAAGCUGAAAAGAGUAUUUUGCCGUUGCCGUAGCAACCCCUGACUCACUCAUUGCUAGCUGAGUUCAGAAGUCCUUAAACAGCUAAAGGCAAGGUAACCUCCUUUGGAAGUUCCCCUUUGGCCUAUGCACACUGUGGAAGAGCCAUUGGAAAUGAGUUUUUGGUGAAGAUGAGGCAGCAGGGCGACGGAGGACCUUUGAGAAAGAAGUUGCUCUAGAAGAUUUGGAGUUACAGGAGGUACCAUGUGCCUGGCUCCCAGCCUGGCUCAUGGACUAGGAGCAGCUCAGUUCUGCCAAAAGAACUGAAGACAAAAAGAAGAAUAAGAAGACAUUGAUAGAUGGGGAGGCAGAUUCACAGUUUCUCUGAAACCUUGGUGACAGUGAACAGCCAUAACAGCAGAAGGAUCCAGACACAGCCAUGGAGAAACCCACCAGGCUCCAGCACACAGUCCCAAACCUCUGCAGGCAGAUGACCCUGGUUAUACUCAGUGGAUCUCAAAGGGAAUCAACGAGGAAACCCAAGAAAACAAAACGACAACAACAACAACAUCAUCAUGACGCUGGGGAAGAGAUUGAUGGUGCUGCCCAGAUGUGCGUAGGUGUGCGGUCUCCCACAGGAAUGAGACAACCUACCCCGCCCCAAAUACAAAGUGACUCUCCUUGCCCCAACAGCCAAUGGGGUCUCAGGAGUCCUUCCCCUGUCCAAGAUGGAAACUGUAGCCGGCUUCAUCCUGUGCAGGUCUCAGGCACUCCUGAACUUUCCCACCGACACCGUACUUCCAACUGUUAUGACAAUGGGAACCAGGAGCUGAAGAGAUGGUUUGGGGGUAAAAGUGCGUGUCACCAAGCCUACCAACCUGAACCCACAUAAAGGUGGAAGGAGAGAAAGUCCUCCUCUGACUUCUGCAAUCACACUCGCCCCAACACACACACACACACACACACACACACACACACACACACACACACACACACACUCAUCAUCAUCAUUUAAAAAUGGGAAGAGACAGGCAAGUGCCUUCCUGUGUUGGUAAUAGGAUCAGAUUGUUGUAAAAAUGGGGUCUUUUGUUUCAAUCCCAGGUCUGUCCCUCAUUAGCUGUGUCAGUCUGUCAGUCCUCUGAGCCUCUGUUUCAUGGUUUAUAAAAUGGCAAUGACAGUUCGGGUCUCACCGACAAGUAAAGAGGAUAGCAAUGCGGAACAAUAUAUUAUAAUAUUGCUGGGAACAUAAACACACAAUCACCACGGUCCUGUAAUUAUGAUCGGCUGCUCAGUCUCCAGCAAGGCCCAAAAGAACUGGCAGAUAAAGGGUACAUCACAAUGGGAAGCAGGGCAGUCAGCAGUGUAUUUAUGCAGACCAUUGCCAUGCUCCUGUGGCUGGCGAAUCCUUAGGGUUUGCAAAGGGCUUUAGCCACCUACUUGCUAAUAACUGUAGUGACCUCUAGUGGUACCCAUUUUUUCAUGGGGGGAGGGAAAUGUUACACCCCUGUGAAAGGCCACUUCUAGCACCACCUUUUACUAUUUUGCUUGUAAACCCAAAAUUCAGAGAUUGGUUAAGUGAAAACGAAUCUUAUACUGAACUGACUGACUUAGUAAUUUAAAUUUUUAUCACAUUGGAGUUAUUUUAAAAAUCUCUGGAUAAUUCACACACUCAUUCCCAUUUGACUUCCCACCCAGUAUUCCUGAGUUGUGGAUCCCAUACAUUAGAAUUUUCUCAAAACCUCCUAGACACAUCUCAUGGCACAGGUAUUGUGCCAGCUGGGCAGAAAAGAAUAAAUAAAGAUGAAAAAUGGGUAGGCCCCCAUGAAUGCACAAGCAGAUAGCAGAACAAACAAAAACUGUCUAUGUUUUAAAAUGUACUAAAGUAGACAUUGACCCUAUGAGAACAGCAUCAUUUGACCCUUCAUGGAAUAUGGGUGAUUUUGCUUUCUCAAUAUGGUAAGAAGACUCUAGAACUCUGAAACGUAUCAGAAUAAAACUGACAUGUUGACAGGGACACAAAGAAACGCUCACCUGGGUUGAGAUAUUUAACCAAAAGAGAAUCACCAGGGGUCUGGAGAGAUGGCUCAGGAGUGACUGGCUGCUUUUCCAGAGGACCUGGGUCUGAUCCCCAGCACCUGCAUGGUGGCUGACAGAAGAUGCUGGUCCCAUGGGAUCUGACAUCCUCCUGGAGACACUGCACACAUGUGAUGCACAGACAUACAUGCAUACAAAACACUCAUACACAGAAAAUAAUAAAAUAAAAUCAUUUGAGAAUAUAUGAAUAAAGACAGAGACAGAGAGGGGCCAGGCAGAAUCACCAGGCACAGUGACUCGAACCUGUACAUUCAGGAUUCUGGAGAGUGAGGCAGGAGGAUUACUACCAGUUUGAAGCUAGCCUACACUACAUACUUCAGAACUCCAGGCCAGCCUUGGCUAUGUAGUGAGACCCUGUUUCAAAUAAUCAAGAGAGAGUAAACAUAAAUAUUAAAUCAUGAGAACUGAAAAUUCAAAAACUACUUAGUCAUUUUAAAUCUGUUGUCUUGCUUAUUCAGCAAGUAUAUGUAUAAUUUUUUUGGCAAUUCUAAUUUGAAAUAAAAAGCAUUUCUUUAUAAUGAAAGUCAACAUAUGUGCAAGUGCAAAUGAUUUAUAUGCUUUCAUAUGAUUCUAAUAUAAGGAAUUUUACAAGGAAGAGGAAUGCUUUGUCACUCUCUUUCAACUUGUGGAAUAUUGUUGAUGUUCAUACAGUUGGUGUGUAAGGAAUAAACAGCCACAUAGAGAAUGCAGGGUUCUCACAUGAGGCCCAAAGUGUACUCAUUUUUAUUUGAUAGUUAUAUGGAACUAAGGAAUAUUUUCAGCCUCUUCUGUAAGUACAAUUAUGUUCUAUUUCUUCAUUUGGACUUCACAAUGAUCUUUAGUGAUGUUAGUCCAACAGUCUAAUGGCCACAAAUAACUCUCCAGACUUGGCAGGGAUUUAAAAAUUCAAAUAGCCUAAAUCAAUCUAAAAUCUUCAAAAACUAAUUCACAGAAGUUCAAGUUUUUCUCCUCUCACAGCUAGGUAGAAUACCUGUGGCCUCCUAGGAAAGAAGGUUCACAUAUGGGGGCCCGAUAUUCAUUUUGGAAGGCUGUAUCUGUCCCUUGGUAAGAGAGGGAAGAGCUCAAGUCCCCUAGUUGAGAAAAGGUGUGUCUGAGUUUCCUUUGGACAACAGGGACUGAUGUGGUACUCUCUUUUGGAACUGGUGAAUAUGUGAGUCCCCAUUGGACAGAAAGCUAAGCACUGAGACCCUCUCUGGCACUAGUGGAAGAUUUCUGUCCCUCUUGGACAGAAAGAGUAUGUCUAAAGCUCUCCUUGUUCGAAGCAGAGUAAGGGUAAGAGAUUCACCUCAAAGACGGCGUCUUCUGAAAGAACACCAGGCCCCCUCCAUCAUUAGGAAGUUUGAUUUCCCCUUCAGGGUUAUGGUUAGAACCACUAUGGCCCUAGGAUCUCCUUAGAGCUCAAAACUAGCCAGUUAGAAGCACAUCAAAUGCCAGAGUGCUAUUUUUAUUCUUUCUUUUCUCAUGCUUGUUCAUUCUUCGUCCUGUUGAGGGCUCAUUUAUUUAUCCUCAGCUGGCUACCAGCUAAGACACUUCAAAUUUUCUGUCCUGCUCGUUUUUCAGGCAGAGCUGAGGGAUAAGCUGUCGCUUGCACUGAUGAAGUGCGUGUCUUUGUGUUUCCCACGGUCAGAUUUAAUCACUCCAAUUUGUAUUUUAUGUUUAAAACUAUAGUGAUAAUCUUACAACCUUUCACAGGAAAUAGUCUUAGUAAACACCAAGUGCUGACUUGGGCACAGUUGGACAGCCAAUACAUUUUUUUUGUUGUUGUUGCUGUUCUUAUUGUUGUUAUUUUCUUACAGUGUUGAAGAUCAAUCAAAUCAGUUUCAGCCCAGUUCUAGAUUAUACUGAUUAUGUUGGCUUAGUUAUCUGCUUAAAAAAUUCUAUAUAAGAGGCUGGAGAGAUGGCUCAGAGGUUAAGAGCACUGACUGUUUUUCCAGAGGUCCUGAGUUCAAUUCCCAGCAUCCACAUGGUGACUCACAACCAUCUGUAAGGAGAUCUGGUGCCCUCUUCUG